rnacentral:rRNA from 1 species
ACUCAAAGGAAUUGACGGGGGCCCGCACAAGCAGCGGAGCAUGUGGUUUAAUUCGACGCAACGCGAAGAACCUUACCUGGGCUUGACAUGUGGAUGACCGGCCUGGAAACAGGUCUUCCCUUCGGGGCAUCUUCACAGGUGGUGCAUGGCUGUCGUCAGCUCGUGUCGUGAGAUGUUGGGUUAAGUCCCGCAACGAGCGCAACCCCCGUCGUAUGUUGCCAGCAUUUAGUUGGGGACUCAUGCGAGACUGCCGGUGACAAACCGGAGGAAGGUGGGGAUGACGUCAAGUCAUCAUGCCCCUUAUGUUCAGGGCUACACACGUGCUACAUUGGCGCGUACAGAGGGCUGCGAUGCCGCGAGGCGGAGCGAAUCCCUUAAAGCGCGUCUCGGUUCGGAUUGCAGGCUGAAACCCGCCUGCAUGAAGGCGGAGUUGCUAGUAAUCGCGGAUCAGCAUUGCCGCGGUGAAUACGUUCCCGGGCCUUGUACACACCGCCCGU